rnacentral:rRNA from 1 species
GACGAACGCUGGCGGCGUGCUUAACACAUGCAAGUCGAACGGAAAGGCCCUGCUUUUGUGGGGUGCUCGAGUGGCGAACGGGUGAGUAACACGUGAGUAACCUGCCCGUGACUUUGGGAUAACUUCAGGAAACUGGGGCUAAUACCGGAUAGGAGCUCCUGCUGCAUGGUGGGGGUUGGAAAGUUUCGGCGGUUGGGGAUGGACUCGCGGCUUAUCAGCUUGGUGGUGGGGUAGUGGCUUACCAAGGCUUUGACGGGUAGCCGGCCUGAGAGGGUGACCGGCCACAUUGGGGCUGAGAUACGGACCAGACUCCUACGGGAGGCAGCAGUGGGGAAUAUUGCCCAAUGAGCGGAAGCCUGAUGCAGAAACGCCGCGUGCGGGAUGACGGCCUUCGGGGUGUAAACCGCUUUCGCCUGUGACGAAGCGUGAGUGACGGUAAUGGGUAAAGAAGCACCGGCUAACUACGUG